rnacentral:tRNA from 1 species
GCGCCCAUAGCUCAGCUGGAUAGAGUAUUUGGCUACGAACCAAAGGGCCGAGAGUUCGAAUCUUUCUGGGCGCGCCA